UGGGGGAUAUUGCACAAUGGGCGAAAGCCUGAUGCAGCGACGCCGCGUGGGGGAUGAAGGCUUUCGGGUUGUAAACCUCUUUCGCUAUCGAACAAGGCCCGCUUAGGGUGGGUUGAGGGUAGGUGGAGAAGAAGCGCCGGCUAACUACGUGCCAGCAGCCGCGGUAAUACGUAGGGCGCGAGCGUUGUCCGGAAUUAUUGGGCGUAAAGGGCUUGUAGGCGGCUUGUUGCGCCUGCUGUGAAAACGCGGGGCUUAACUUCGCGCGUGAAGUGGGUACGGGCAGGCUUGAGUGGGGUAGGGGUGACUGGAAUUCCAGGUGUAGCGGUGGAAUGCGCAGAUAUCUGGAGGAACACCGAUGGCGAAGGCAGGUAACUGGGCCAUUACUGACGCUGAGGAGCGAAAGCAUGGGUAGCGAACAGG
rnacentral:rRNA from 1 species